UUUAGUGGUCAUAGCGAGGAAAAAAAACGCUCCAUCCCAUCCCGAACUGGAAAGCAAACGUCCUCAGCGGUGAUGAUACUAUGUCUGAAGACAUUGGAAAGUAAACACGCUACCAGGC
rnacentral:rRNA from 1 species